AGCAACGCCGCGUGAGUGAUGAAGGUCUUCGGAUCGUAAAACUCUGUUAUUAGGGAAGAACAUAUGUGUAAGUAACUGUGCACAUCUUGACGGUACCUAAUCAGAAAGCCACGGCUAACUACGUGCCAGCAGCCGCGGUAAUACGUAGGUGGCAAGCGUUAUCCGGAAUUAUUGGGCGUAAAGCGCGCGUAGGCGGUUUUUUAAGUCUGAUGUGAAAGCCCACGGCUCAACCGUGGAGGGUCAUUGGAAACUGGAAAACUUGAGUGCAGAGGAGGAAAGUGGAAUUCCAUGUGUAGCGGUGAAAUGCGCAGAGAUAUGGAGGAACACCAGUGGCGAAGGCGACUUUCUGGUCUGUAACUGACGCUGAUGUGCGAAAGCGUGGGGAUCAAACAGGAUUAGAUACCCUGGUAGUCCACGCCGUAAACGAUGAGUGCUAAGUGUUAGGGGGUUUCCGCCCCUUAGUGCUGCAGCUAACGCAUUAAGCACUCCGCCUGGGG
rnacentral:rRNA from 1 species